rnacentral:rRNA from 1 species
CAAUAGCGUAUAUUAAAGUUGUUGCAGUUAAAAAGCUCGUAGUUGGAUUUCUGGUGGGAGCGAUCGGUCUGGCGCUUAGCGCGAGUACUUGCAUCGUCUCCGGCCAUCCUUGGGGAAAGUCUGUCUGGCAUUAAGUUGUCGGGCAGAGGAUCCUCAUCGUUUACUGUGAAAAAAUUAGAGUGUUCAAAGCAGGCUUAUGCCGUUGAAUAUAUUAGCAUGGAAUAAUAAGAUUGGACUUUGGUACUAUUUUGUUGGUUUGCGCACCAAAGUAAUGAUUAAUAGGGACAGUUGGGGGUAUUCGUAUUCCGUUGUCAGAGGUGAAAUUCUUGGAUUUACGGAAGACGAACUACUGCGAAAGCAUUUACCAAGGAUGUUUUCAUUAA